rnacentral:rRNA from 1 species
GACGAACGCUGGCGGCGUGCUUAACACAUGCAAGUCGAACGGUGAAAGCGGAGCUUGCUCCGCUGGAUCAGUGGCGAACGGGUGAGUAACACGUGGGCAACCUGCCCCUCACUUCGGGAUAACUCCGGGAAACCGGGGCUAAUACCGGAUAUGACCUCCUUGGGCAUCCUUGGAGGUGGAAAGUUUUUCGGUGAGGGAUGGGCCCGCGGCCUAUCAGCUUGUUGGUGAGGUAGUGGCUCACCAAGGCGACGACGGGUAGCCGGCCUGAGCGGGCGACCGGCCACACUGGGACUGAGACACGGCCCAGACUCCUACGGGGGGCAGCAGUGGGGAAUAUUGCGCAAUGGGCGAAAGCCUGACGCAGCAACGCCGCGUGCGGGAUGACGGCCUUCGGGUUGUAAACCGCUUUCAGCAGGGAAGAAGCCGCAAGGUGACGGUACCUGCAGAAGAAGCACCGGCUAACUACGUGCCAGCAGCCGCAGUAA